ACCCAGUCCUUCCAAACACCGCUGGCACGUCCGGAAAGGCGCUGUAGGUCCAGGAGCUAGCGUGUAGCAAGCUAGCGAGUAGUGUCAACAACCGCGGUAUAAACCAGCACCGGUUUCCAACACACUUCUGUCUGCCGGACACUAGCCCACGACUAGACACAAGUAACCAGCAAACACGGGUCGCUGAAAGUCACUGGCACGUAACAGAGUAGCUAGCCGAAAGAAAACAGGACUUCGCUAAUCGCUAGUCGGGACUCUGCACUGACUGGACUUCACUGAACUGAACGAGCGACUGCGAGCCGUCACGUAACUGAGGAAUCAGGCCCGUAACAUUCUCUCUGUAGUGGCCUCCCAUCCCGACCUCAUCAAGAUGGUGGAGAGGUUUGCCCCUCUGAGCGAUCAAAUCCGCAUCAAGGACUUCAUUAACACAUGCCAGAAAAGACCUUUGCGUUGAAGAAGACAUCAGAGCCAGCAGAAUGAGACCACACCCACGGGGUCACAGACACAGACACACAGACACAGACACACACACACACACACACACACACAGACACACGUGCUGUAGAGAUACAAAGCACAUCCAUUUAAAAAAAAAAAUAAUAAUAAUAAUCUGCACGGAUUCACUUUUACAUAUUAACUGAACAUUGCCACAUCAAAUCACUAUUAGCUUAAAAUUUAAAUAACAAUAAUUGAACACUC